rnacentral:rRNA from 1 species
CAGCAGCCGCGGGAAUACGGAGGGUGCAAGCGUUAAUCGGAAUUACUGGGCGUAAAGCGCACGCAGGCGGUCUGUUAAGUCAGAUGUGAAAUCCCCGGGCUCAACCCGGGAACUGCAUUUGAAACUGGCAGGCUUGAGUCUUGUAGAGGGGGGUAGAAUUCCAGGUGUAGCGGUGAAAUGCGUAGAGAUCUGGAGGAAUACCGGUGGCGAAGGCGGCCCCCUGGACAAAGACUGACGCUCAGGUGCGAAAGCGUGGGGAGCAAACAGGAUUAGAUACCCCAGUAGUCCCUGUCUCUUAUAC